AGGAGGAACAACUCUAGUGGCUGCGGCAGCUCUGGAAACCUGGAUUCAGCCCCCGCAGGAACUACUCCGUCUGCAGGGCCUGGAGGCUCCGGGCGGGG
rnacentral:pre_miRNA from 1 species